GAGUGACAACACCGACGCUUUCAACCAAUUUUUGAAGAAGAUAGCUAAGGAAAUCAAACAUGAUAACUUCGAUGACUUAGGAGAGCAUCUAGGAUUCACACCUGCAGAAAUUAAGCUCUUCAAAGAUGAAAACAGGCUCACAGUCACAACCGAGGGCACUUUGCAAAUGCUUAAAAAGUGGCGUGAUGGGCAAACAGAGACUAAUGAAAGGGGAAAUUUGAAAGCUGCAAUGGAGAAAGCCGGCCUUGUCCGCUUGGUACAUAAAUACUUCUCUGCUGAUGAAAUGGGGCAACACCCAAGACACACAACGCCUGCUUCAACGGUGCAAGGUGCAAGAGAACUCGCCAGUACAGCUACAGAGAACUCGCCAGUACAGCUACAAAGCCAUGUCACAG